GAUCAUGGCUCAGGAUGAACGCUAGCUACAGGCUUAACACAUGCAAGUCGAGGGGCAGCAUGACGAUAGCUUGCUAUGUGAUGGCGACCGGCGCACGGGUGAGUAACGCGUAUCCAACCUUCCCUAUAGUAGAGGAUAGCCCGGCGAAAGUCGGAUUAAUACUCUAUGUUUUCCAAUGCAGACAUCUAAAAUGGAACAAAGGUUUACCGCUAUAGGAUGGGGAUGCGUCUGAUUAGGUUGUUGGCGGGGUAACGGCCCACCGAGCCUACGAUCAGUAGGGGUUCUGAGAGGAAGGUCCCCCACAUUGGAACUGAGACACGGUCCAAACUCCUACGGGAGGCAGCAGUGAGGAAUAUUGGUCAAUGGGCGAGAGCCUGAACCAGCCAAGUAGCGUGCAGGAUGACGGCCCUAUGGGUUGUAAACUGCUUUUAUAUAGGGAUAAAGUGACCCACGUGUGGGUUUUUGUAGGUACUAUAUGAAUAAGGACCGGCUAAUUCCGUGCCAGCCGCAGC
rnacentral:rRNA from 1 species